UACGUAGGGACCGAGCGUUGUCCGGAUUCAUUGGGCGUAAAGAGCUCGUAGGCGGCUGUUCAAGUCGAACGUGAAAACUCGGGGCUCAACUCCGAGCCUGCGUUCGAUACUGGAUGGCUAGAGUCUGGUAGGGGGAUCUGGAAUUCCUGGUGUAGCGGUGAAAUGCGCAGAUAUCAGGAAGAACACCGAUGGCGAAGGCAGCUCUCUGGGACGGUACUGACGCUGAGACGCGAAAGCGUGGGGAGCGAACAGG
rnacentral:rRNA from 1 species